UAUUUGAGAAAAUCACAUUUUUACCACAUUAAUUAAUCAGUAUUUCACAAAUUACCACCUAACUCUCCUAUUUUACAGUACUACCAAAAACAAUCAAAACUUUUCACCACCACCAUCCCUAUCAUAUGAUGCCACGUGUAAUAGAUAGCUCAUUACUGUUAGUGAGAAUCUACCACGGGAUCCGCGCCUUAUUUGUUGUUGCAUUCUCUUAAAACACGGGUUUCUUUCCUAGCUGAUUCAAAUAACACUUGAUUUUUUCCUUUUUAAAAGAUAUCAAAUCAAAAACACAUCACAAAUACACAAAAUAUACCAUCGUCUUCUUCCUCAAAAAUAGCAUCGUCUUCUUCCUCAAAUUUUUUAUCUCAAAUAUUGUAUCAUCAUGGAAUCUAUUCCAGUGAUGAUACAACACAAAGGGAAAUCGAUUUUACUGUGUAUCCUCUCUGCAUAGUAGUUAUCAGUGAUACUAACCAGAUACAAACAAUUCUUCCAGAUGCAUCAUCAAGUGUUUCAACAGCUAUUUCACAGUCAAAGAUAGAUCAAGAUACCGUAUCGAUACAUGAUUGAUACAUGUCUGAUACAAUCGUCGAAAUAGGUGAAACCAUCUUCAGAUGAUAUCAUAACAGUUCUCGAAAAUGGUAAAGAAUACACAGUCAAUAUGGUCAAGAGAACAUGUACAUGCAAAAAGUUUGAUAUCGAUGAAAUUCCUUGUAAACAUGACGUAGCAUUUCUAGCCGACAAGAAGAUUGAACCUUAUGCGUACUGUUCAAGAUACUAUACAAAUGCAGCUAUGUUAGCGACAUAUUCUGAAACCGUAUAUCCAUUGGAGAAGGAAGAAGAAUGGAUUAUUCCAUAACAUAUCAAGAACAUGAUUGUCUUACCACCCCAACAUAGAACAAGAACUGGAAGGCCUAAAAAGAGUAGGUACACGUCAAAGUGGGAAAAUCCGAAAAAAGGGAAAUGUGGAAAAUGCGGGCAAGCUGGACAUAAUAGGAAAACAUGCCGAAACAUGCCUAAAGCUACCUAGAUUAUCAUUUCUUUCAGUAUUUUUUAUUCUAUUAUAAAUUUCCAAGUAUUAUAUACAAUUCUGAUACAUUAAAGAUUGUUGUA